GCUGAGUGCAGUGGCACACACCUGUAAUCCCAGUGGCUUGGGAGGCUGAGGCAGGAGGAUCACGAGUUCAAAGCCAGCCUCAGCAAAAAGCAAGGCGUUAAGCAAUUCAGUGAGACCCUGUCUCUA
rnacentral:sRNA from 1 species